rnacentral:rRNA from 1 species
GAUGAACGCUGGCGGCGUGCCUAAUACAUGCAAGUCGAGCGGUAAGGCCUCUUCGGAGGUACACGAGCGGCGGACGGCUGAGUAACACGUAGGAACGUACCCCAAAGUGAGGGAUAACUGCUCGAAAGAGUAGCUAAUACCGCAUGUGAUCCACGGAUUAAAGCUUUAUGCGCUUUGGGAACGGCCUGCGUUCGAUUAGCUAGAUGGUAGUGUAAUGGACUACCAUGGCGACGAUCGAUAGCUGGUCUGAGAGGAUGAGCAGCCAGACUGGGACUGCGACACGGCCCAGACUCCUACGGGAGGCAGCAGUAGGGAAUUUUCCACAAUGGGCGAAAGCCUGAUGGAGCAACGCCGCGUGCAGGAUGAAUGCCUUCGGGUUGUAAACUGCUUUUAUUAGUGACGAUUAUGACGGUAACUAAUGAAUAAGGACCUGCUAACUACGUGCCAGCAGCCGCCGUAA